UUCAGUUUCCCAUAUUAAUUUUUGCACGCCCUAGAAUAUUCCGCACUGUUCCGGUAGGAAAUAGUGAAAAUGAAAUCUCGGCAAAGAGAGGUGGUAUUUGAAAGUGGACACGAUUCUCAAACUCAGAAUUGGAGAGAAAUUUACAUUUUUGCCCCCAUCAUUUUCAUUUCCUCCGUCACUUUCAUUUCCUUCCGCCUUAGCCAUUCUACGUCGCUGGAGGAGAAGGUGUUUCAUCACGCACGUUCACAAGUUUCACUGGGUGGAGAUUUUCGCGUCGCCAAGAAGGUGUGCUUUGAACGAUUCCGGAUUGAUGGUACAAAGCUGUAUGUCGGCUUGCCACUGGACACCGUCUCCAGCUGCAACUCGAGCAGAUAAGCAAGAACUUGAUGGGUGAAAACGCGGUGGUGAACUUGUUCACAUAUCAAAGAAUGGGUGUGAAGUUCUUCUCCCCGGAGCACUUCCCGCUCUUCAGCGGCCUCAACAAACCGGCUCCGUUGGCCGACGAUUUGGCCAUGGAAGAUGAGGAAAAUGCGGAAUCGCUCUCUGGUAAUGAGUAUGCAGAUGCAGACGGCUUGAAUAUUGAAGUUGCUGUGUAUGUAAAUAUGAUAGUAAGAUUUUGCUCUCUGUUAUAUAGUAGAAAUACUAUGUUGUAAAACCCUUGAUAAAUCAGUUCUAAAACUAUUUUUAGCUCA